CACAUGCAAGUCGAGCGGAAAGGCCCUUCGGGGUACUCGAGCGGCGAACGGGUGAGUAACACGUGAGCAACCUGCCCUUGGCUUCGGGAUAACCAUCGGAAACGGUGGCUAAUACCGGAUAUGACCUCUCACCGCAUGGUGUGGGGGUGGAAAGUUUUUCGGCCAGGGAUGGGCUCGCGGCCUAUCAGCUUGUUGGUGGGGUAAUGGCCUACCAAGGCGACGACGGGUAGCCGGCCUGAGAGGGCGACCGGCCACACUGGGACUGAGACACGGCCCAGACUCCUACGGGAGGCAGCAGUGGGGAAUAUUGCGCAAUGGGCGGAAGCCUGACGCAGCGACGCCGCGUGAGGGAUGACGGCCUUCGGGUUGUAAACCUCUUUCAGCAGGGACGAAGCGCAAGUGACGGUACCUGCAGAAGAAGCACCGGCCAACUACGUGCCAGCAGCCGCGGUAAGACGUAGGGUGCGAGCGUUGUCCGGAUUUAUUGGGCGUAAAGAGCUCGUAGGCGGCUCGUCGCGUCGAUUGUGAAAACCUGGGGCUUAACCUCGGGCCUGCAAUCGAUACGGGCGGGCUAGAGUUCGGUAGGGGAGACUGGAAUUCCUGGUGUAGCGGUGAAAUGCGCAGAUAUCAGGAGGAACACCGGUGGCGAAGGCGGGUCUCUGGGCCGAUACUGACGCUGAGGAGCGAAAGCGUGGGGAGCGAACAGGAUUAGAUACCCUGGUAGUCCACGCUGUAAACGGUGGGUGCUAGGUGUGGGGGGCUCUCCAGCUCUCCGUGCCGCAGCUAACGCAUUAAGCACCCCG
rnacentral:rRNA from 1 species